CUGUGAAUGGACCCUGAUGAUCACAGAGUCCCAGAAGAAAGAGAUAAGGGAGGAAAGGGAAUGGUAGAAGUAUCUCGAAGUGAGAAGGCUUGGAGGAAAAUGUAUAGACCAGAACAAAGGGUCAGUGAAUAUUAAACUGGUCCCUGCUUAAGAAGAAAUGGCUUUGCCAGUGCAUCCAAGGACACAUCUGAUAUUUCUUUUGGCCAAGAAUCAUUUUGGUUUGGGGGAUUCGUGGUUACUUCUUGUUAAGAAAGCCUUGCUCUCUGUAGCUCUGAAAGCAUGGUCCAGUUCCAGUCAUAAUUAUGAAGAAAGCCAUCGGAGGGAACCAUGAAGCUUUACGUGAUAAUAAACGUUAUUCGAAUAGAUUUACAUGCCUCGAAUGGAAAUGAGCUCGGCCAUCUCCACAGACAGACGCAUAUUAUGCUGUCUGAGGCUGGCCACUGCAAAUUUCCCUCCGUGCAAUGGCAAGACUAUUCUUAGUAAAGAGAGCUUGAACAGAUGAAGAUAAUCAUAUGGUUCUCCUAAAUUAAAUCUGUUAAGAGAGCAUAAAAGCAAA